rnacentral:rRNA from 1 species
UCUUCCCUCUUUCUUCGUGCCUAAUACAUGCAAGUCGAGCGAACAGACGAGGAGCUUGCUCCUCUGACGUUAGCGGCGGACGGGUGAGUAACACGUGGAUAACCUACCUAUAAGACUGGGAUAACUUCGUGAAACCGGAGCUAAUACCGGAUAAUAUAUUGAACCGCAUGGUUCAAUAGUGAAAUACGGUUUUGCUGUCACUUAUAGAUGGAUCCGCGCCGCAUUAGCUAGUUGGUAAGGUAACGGCUUACCAAGGCAACGAUGCGUAGCCGACCUGAGAGGGUGAUCGGCCACACUGGAACUGAGACACGGUCCAGACUCCUACGGGAGGCAGCAGUAGGGAAUCUUCCGCAAUGGGCAAAAGCCUGACGGAGCAACGCCGCGUGAGUGAUGAAGGUCUUCGGAUCGUAAAACUCUGUUAUUAGGGAAGAACAAAUGUGUAAGUAACUAUGCACGUCUUGACGGUACCUAAUCAGAAAGCAACGGCUAACUACGUG